rnacentral:rRNA from 1 species
GUGGGUAGUUUGACUGGGGCGGUCUCCUCCUAAAGAGUAACGGAGGAGCACGAAGGUUGGCUAAUCCUGGUCGGACAUCAGGAGGUUAGUGCAAUGGCAUAAGCCAGCUUGACUGCGAGCGUGACGGCGCGAGCAGGUGCGAAAGCAGGUCAUAGUGAUCCGGUGGUUCUGAAUGGAAGGGCCAUCGCUCAACGGAUAAAAGGUACUCCGGGGAUAACAGGCUGAUACCGCCCAAGAGUUCAUAUCGACGGCGGUGUUUGGCACCUCGAUGUCGGCUCAUCACAUCCUGGGGCUGAAGUAGGUCCCAAGGGUAUGGCUGUUCGCCAUUUAAAGUGGUACGCGAGCUGGGUUUAGAACGUCGUGAGACAGUUCGGUCCCUAUCUGCCGUGGGCGCUGGAGAACUGAGGGGGGCUGCUCCUAGUACGAGAGGACCGGAGUGGACGCAUCACUGGUGUUCGGGUUGUCAUGCCAAUGGCACUGCCCGGUAGCUAAAUGCGGAAGAGAUAAGUGCUGAAAGCAUCUAAGCACGAAACUUGCCCCGAGAUGAGUUCUCCCUGAGACUUAAAGUCUCCUGAAGGAACGUUGAAGACGACGACGUUGAUAGGCCGG